UUGGUCAACUCCCUGACUAGGCCGUCCUCCACUGAUCCACUCAGUUUAGACCGGUGGCCAGCUGUAGGACGAGUCCUGGUGGAUCUGAACUUUUUCCAUUUAGGGAUGAUGGAGGUCACUGUGCUUAUUGGGACUUUCAAAGUAG